rnacentral:lncRNA from 1 species
CAAUAAAACUUUCUUAAGAGUUAUUUCUUUUAGUGUUCUACCUUGUGGAAAUACUAACUGGUUUAUGUCCAUCAAAAUUGGAACUUCAGCUCCCACCUCAAUUACCGAACAAAUUGCAACCCACCUUGGUAUAAACAGUAGUAUAGCCUCCCAUUCCAUCGAGUUACUUGACUCUCUAAUUUCAUGCACUCCAACUUAUGGACUAGCUGUCAGUGCCAUUAAACUUCGAACACCUCAUUCAGAUUCUGGGGAGGAUAUAUUUUUCUCUUUUGCUAGCAAUAUUUGA